UCCUGACACAAGGGCCUCUAAGGUCU
rnacentral:piRNA from 1 species